GAUGAACGCUGGCGGCGUGCCUAAUACAUGCAAGUCGAGCGAACAGACGAGGAGCUUGCUCCUCUGACGUUAGCGGCGGACGGGUGAGUAACACGUGCAUCACCUACCUAUAAGUCUUGGAUAACUUCGGAAAACCGGAUCUAAUACCGCAUAAUAUAUUGUACCGCAUGGUUCAAUAGUGAAUGACGGUUUUGCUGUCUCUUUUAGAUGGAUCCGCGCCGAAUUAGCUAGUUGGUAAGGUAACGGCUUACCAAGGCACCGAUGCGUAGCCGACCUGAGAGAGGGAUCGGCCACACUGGAACUGAGAAACGGCCCAGAUCCUUAGGGGAGGCAGCAGGAGGGAAUCUUCCGCAAUGGGCGAAAGCCUGACGGAGCAACGCAGGGGGGGUGAUGAGGGGCUUCGGAUGGUAAAACUCUGUUAUGAGGGAAAAAAAAAUGUGGAAGUAACCAUGCAGGUCUUGAGGGUACCGAAGCAGAAAGCCACGGUAAACUAGGU
rnacentral:rRNA from 1 species